UCACUCCUUCAAGCAGCCCAUAAGGAGAAAUAGAAGACCCACAGAUUGGUGGAAUAGCUGGCAUUUUGCUCAUCAUUUUCCUGACACGAUGAUGGAAAAAUAAAGAGAUCUACUGGCGAGCCUAAGUCCAGCACUCUGCUCCCUGUUUCGACAACAACCGCUAAGCACGGGGUACGAGCGUCUCAUCAGCUCCAAAUAAACUGGGGAGAGAUAAAAGGACUGAAACUUUCAGGAAUGACUAAAGUUAAAGUUUUACCGUUCUUGCAAACGGAGCAAAGAUUACUGAUUACUCUGCUCGGUGGCUGUCCGGUGGGUUUUUUUUCCCCCAACAUAUAAGGGCCGGGAAGUGCUGAAUGGACAGAAGGUUGAAAUCCUCCAGCCUGUCAUGGUGCACGUUUCUUUCUCACCCCGGCCUGGGGUUUUCUACAAGACUCUGCUGGCACUAGAGAGAAGAUACUUGGAACAGCAGAGUUUGCUGAAGAGAAAAACAGCUGCAGAAAUCACCUCAAGACCCUAAUUGAUGGAUUGAACAUCUGGUUUCCAGGAUUCUCCUAAGUCACGGUCCCAAAUAUGGAACCGAACUCCUUUUCAUCUUUUAUGCUAUUUGUUAAGUGCUUACCGUGUGCCAGGCACUAAUAAUAAUAAUAAAACAAUGGUACUUUAA